rnacentral:rRNA from 1 species
GAAUUCGCCCUUAGAGUUUGAUCCUGGCUCAGAAUGAACGCUGGCGGCAUGGAUUAGGCAUGCAAGUCGAACGGGUUCCCUCGGGAACUAGUGGCGUAAGGGUGAGUAACACGUGAGUAACCUGCCCCUGAAUCUGGAAUAAACCAGGGAAACUUGGUCUAAAACCGGAUGUCGGCACCACACCUCCUGGUGUUUUGCUGAAAUAUUCAUAGUUCGGGGAUGGGCUUGCGUCCCAUUAGCUUGUUGGCGGGGUAAUGGCCCACCAAGGCUACGACGGGUAGGUGGUCUGAGAGGAUGGUCACCCACACUGGGACUGAGACACUGCCCAGACUCCUACGGGAGGCUGCAGUCGAGAAUCUUCCGCAAUGGGCGCAAGCCUGACGGAGCAAUGCCGCGUGAGGGAUGAAGGCCUUCGGGUUGUAAACCUCUGUCACCUGGGACGAAAUCAAUGACGGUACCAGGAAAGGAAGCCACGGCUAACCACGUGCCAGCAGCCGCGGUAACACGUGGGUGGCGAGCGUUAUUCGGAUUUACUGGGCGUAAAGGGUCCGCAGGGGGCCUGCCACGCCCGCCGUGAAAUUUCAGGGCUCAACCCUGAACGUGCGGCGGGUACGGGCGGGCUGGAGUGCAGGAUGGGCAGACGGAAUUCCAGGUGUAGCGGUGGAAUGCGUAGAUAUCUGGAAGAACACCGAUGGCGAAGGCGGUCUGCUGGCCUGCAACUGACCCUCAGGGACGAGAGCGUGGGGAUCAAACAGGAUUAGAUACCCUGGUAGUCCCGACCAUAAACGGUGUACACUUGGGGUUGGGGGAUUUCACCCCUCCAGUCCCGGAGCUAACGCGUUAAGUGUACCGCCUGGGGAGUACGGCCGCAAGGUUAAAACUCAAAGAAAUAGACGGGGGCCCGCACAAGCAGAGGAGCAUGUGGCUUAAUUCGAUGCAACGCGAAGAACCUUACCCGGGUUUGACAUAUAACUGCAACUCCCUGGAAACAGGGAUUCCUUCGAGGGUGUUAUACAGGUGCUGCAUGGCUGUCGUCAGUUCGUGCCGUGAGGUGUUUGGUUAAGUCCAGCAACGAACGCAACCCCUAUGUUUAGUUGCCAGCGGGUAAUGCCGGGAACUCUAAACAGACUGCCCGUUCACACGGGAGGAAGGUGGGGGGGACGUCAAGUCAGUAUGGCCCUUACAUCCGGGGGUGCACACGUGCUACAAUGGCCGGUACAAUAGGAAGCGAAGCCGCAAGGUGGAGCCAAUCCCCAAAACCGGCCCCAGUUCGGAUUGCGGUCUGCAACUCGACCGCAUGAAGUUGGAUUUGCUAGUAACGGCGUAUCAGCUACGACGCCGUGAAUAAGUUCCCGGGCCUUGCACACACCGCC